UAAAUAUUUAUUCAUUCUACUACAUUAUACUUUUAUGUUGUCUUGUUUGCACAUUCUGCUUCUAUAUAAGGACCAUUGUUACAAAUACAA